GUCACGACUUGCUCUGCUGAAAUUACCGCACCAUAACCACGUCAUCUGCCCCAAUGAUCUACGGGCCGGAGAACCAGCGCAGAAAAGGAGUAAGUUUAAUUGGUCGCCAGAUGAAACGGUCUUCUUACAUCAAAUUCAAGAAAAAUACGUAUAAUCAGAGGGUGUUAUGGGAAGAGUAUCACCCCUGAGGAUAAGAAGAGAGCGUGGACUGAAGUGGCAGAAGCUGUAACAAGUGCCUUCCCUGGGAGUGGACCCCAUACGCAGGAUGACUGUGAGAGGCGUUGGUACAACGUACAACAAAAAUCAAAGCCUUGCAUUGCCAAGUGCAAGAAUGAGCAGCGGCAGACUGAUACACACUUUAUCAGUAUUGCUAGAGACCAUCCCAGCACAUUGUUCAUUACUUGUGGAAAAGAUACCAUUAGCUGCUCCGGCAACAGCCACUGCUUCAAUAUCUGCUGGCCCUAUGACACCAGCCACUGCUUCAUCAUCUGCUGGCCCUAUGACACCAGCCACUGUUUCAUCAUCUGCUGGCCCAAUGACACCAGCCACUGCUUCAUCAUCUGCUGGCCCUAUGACACCAGCCACUGCUUCAUCAUCUGCUGGCCCAAUGACACCUGCCACUGCAAGGGAUGACAAUGAAGCUGCUCCACCAGUCACCACCUACUUCAUCGGAGUUAAGAGAUGCCUUUCAUAGGGCAGCAGUAUAAUUUUUUGAUGCUGGGGCUGAAUAUUACUGCCUCAAGGCUAUGAUUUUGUCACUUUUUUUUUUAUUACUGAGGAGGUUAGGGUGGAAGGGGUGAAAAAUAAUUUGUGCUGUUUUUCGACAGAAAUGAUUAGCAAAUUCAUUCAAAGCACAAAAUUUACCAGAAAAAAAAUUGUGUGCCAUUGUGAGUGGGUUCACUUGAGAUUGGGCUCCAAUACGCCUCCGUGGUCUAGUGGUCAGCAUGCCUGGCUUCUACGCGGGCCCGGGUUCGAAUCCCGGCCUGGGCAGUCGGCGUGCAGCUCACCCAGCUGAUCAUCCUCCCUCUCGGGCUGGUCGAUAAAUGACUACCUGGGGAAACUGUGGUAGCCCGGAUGUCACACUGGCCCUGUGUCCCGGGGUAAUGGGCUCCCUCUCACCACAGGCUCAAGGCCCAAUGUUACGGAGAUGAGCACCGAGGCCACCCGCUGCUAUAGCGUAUGUCCCAACUUUACCUUUAUUGGCUCGACUGACAGACAUGGCUUUGUAUGUCGAAGGUCACUGGUUCAAUCUCCACAGCCAGCACUCUCUAACUUGGAUUUUUCUGAGUUCCCUAGAGCCUAGAUUAAUUUCUCGGUGUUAAAUGAGGAGAUUUGCACCGGCACCCAGUCAUGGGUGUUACAAGAUGCGUUGUUACAAUCAGGGGCGUCAUUUGGCCUUCAAAAGUGGGAGGGA